CUGUGCCUGUCGGUUCAUAAGAGAUAGAAUUAUUUUUGAUAACCUUACGAUUAAGCCUUUUGGCAUCUAAAAUUUUAAUAUUGUCUGUUCUACAACAUUCCAACAAUUCUUUAUCUUUAAUUUCAAGAUCUAUUUGUCUAACUAAUCCCUUGCUAAGGAAACAUAAAAAAAAUUCUAAAUUUAAAGAUCAAAAAGUAUGGAUAUUGACCAAAUAAGUUAUAAUCUUGUUCUUUUUAGGAUUGAGCUUAUUGCUCCAUUUCUGACAAAGGUGUUUAAUUUAUCUCUACACAAAGGAGAAUGUCCACAAAUAUCAAAAACUUUCAUUAUCAAGUCCCUACCAAAGCCAAAUAGAAUUGAAAAUCUUUCAAAGCUAAGACCAAUUUUUCUUUUACCCAUCUUUGCAAAAUGUUUGAAUUAAUAGUGUUGGAUAUGUUGCUUGAAUUUGUAAAUAUGCAUAAAAUUAUACCCCCAGGACAGUCUGGUUUUCGGAAAAAUCAUGGAACAGCUACAGCCCUGGCAAAAGUAACUGCCAAGAUAUCAACCAAUAUAGACUCCUCUUGUGUUUCUUGCCUGAGAGAUUUCAGUAAGGCCUUUGACCUGAGAAAAUGAAAUCAUGAGAUGCUGUUGGCUAAAAUGAGCUUCUUCGAUGUUUCAGUGAGUGUUUGCAAAUGGUUCCAAAGUUAUCUUCAACUGAGGACACAGAUUGUGGAGCUGGAUGGAGCAAGAUCUAAAUCUGCUGUCACUGGUUAUGGAGUGCCCUAGGGUAGUAUCCUCGGUGCUUUAUUAUUUAGCAUCUAACCUAGCUGCUAUCCGGAUUUUCUCCUCAUAAUGCAUGUCAAUGUAUGCAGCAAAUUAAUGAGGACUUACACUCAAUAUUUAAAUGGUCAAGACUAACAAGAGCGUAUACUUACUCAUAGGUUCUAACACAUUAAAAAAUAAUUUCUUCAAUCUAAAUUCACUACUUUGCAUAUCAAUAACAGUGUCGUUCCUUGUUCACCAUCAGCAAAAAUUCUUGGUGUCAUUUUUGAUCAGGUCCUAAUUUUUCAGGUACAUGUCAAUAAAAAAUUAUCAUGCAUGUACACUUUACUUAAAAGUUUGUAUCAAUUUAAAUAUUAUUUGCCCAAAAAUAUCAAAUUAAUGCUUGUGGAGGCUCGUUUGGUCACAGCUAGAUUACUGCAAUGUUGUUUUUUACAAUUACCUCACUCUUGAAAUGAAGAACAAAAUUCAGUUAGCUCAAAAUGCCUCUAUGAGAUUUGUUUUCAACAUACAAAAAUUUGAUCACAUAACACCAACAUAUGUUGACAAUAAAAUACUAAAAUAUGAAAGGAGAGCAGGUUUACAUUUUGAUUAUUUCACAGCAAGACAAAAUUUACAUAGUCACCGCCUAAGAAACAUAUAAGGCUUCAAAUAUCAGUGCAUAGAACUGAAGGUUUUAAAAACUCAUUUGCCUACCAGGGUAUAUUUUUGUUAAACUCUGAAGUAUACAACUUAAUAAGAUCAUGCUCACUUCCCACUUUCGAGAAGAAUUACAAGGCUUUUCUGUUAGAUUCACAUAUACCUUUAUUGUAAUGUUAAGUAAUUUUAAGAAAUGAGCUUAGUAUAAAGUAGUAUUGUAUUGAAACAGCCCACUAAUACUGUAGUUUUUAGGUAGCAUAGAAGAACACAUUAUGUGAAUGUUACCUUUUAUGUAAUAUUUUGUUGUUGCAUAAUAAAUGUUUAUUUAUUUA
rnacentral:lncRNA from 1 species